GAUGAACGCUGGCGGCGUGCCUAAUACAUGCAAGUCGAGCGAACGGACGAGAAGCUUGCUUCUCUGAUGUUAGCGGCGGACGGGUGAGUAACACGUGGAUAACCUACCUAUAAGACUGGGAUAACUUCGGGAAACCGUAGCUAAUACCGGAUAAUAUUUUGAACCGCAUGGUUCAAAAGUGAAAGACGGUCUUGCUGUCACUUAUAGAUGGAUCCGCGCUGCAUUAGCUAGUUGGUAAGGUAACGGCUUACCAAGGCAACGAUGCAUAGCCGACCUGAGAGGUGGAUCGGCCACACUGGAACUUAGACACGGUCCAGACUCCUACGGGAGGCAGCAGUAGGGAAUCUUCCGCAAUGGGCGAAAGCCUGACGGAGCAACGCCGCGUGAGUGAUGAAGGUCUUCGGAUCGUAAAACUCUGUUAUUAGGGAAGAACAUAUGUGUAAGUAACUGUGCACAUCUUGACGGUACCUAAUCAGAAAGCCACGGCUAACUACGUG
rnacentral:rRNA from 1 species